rnacentral:tRNA from 1 species
GUGGGUAUAGCUCAGUGGUAGAGCUUAUGCUUAGCAUGUACAAGAUUCUGGGUUCAAUCCCCAAUUCUUCCA